rnacentral:rRNA from 1 species
GACGAACGCUGGCGGCGUGCUUAACACAUGCAAGUCGAACGGAAAGGCCCUGCUUUUGUGGGGUGCUCGAGUGGCGAACGGGUGAGUAACACGUGAGUAACCUGCCCUUGACUUUGGGAUAACUUCAGGAAACUGGGGCUAAUACCGGAUAGGAGCUCCUGCUGCAUGGUGGGGGUUGGAAAGUUUCGGCGGUUGGGGAUGGACUCGCGGCUUAUCAGCUUGUUGGUGGGGUAGUGGCUUACCAAGGCUUUGACGGGUAGCCGGCCUGGGAGGGUGACCGGCCACCUUGGGACUGAGGUACGGCCCAGACUCCUACGGGAGGCAGCAGUGGGGAAUAUUGCACAGUGGGCGGAAGCCUGAUGCAGCAGCGCCGCGUGCGGGAUGACGGCCUUCGGGUUGUAAACCGCUUUCGCCUGUGACGAAGCGUGAGUGACGGUAAUGGGUAAAGAAGCACCGGCUAACUACGUG